rnacentral:rRNA from 1 species
GAUGAACGCUGACGGCGUGCCUAAUACAUGCAAGUCGAGCGAACGGACGAGAAGCUUGCUUCUCUGAUGUUAGCGGCGGACGGGUGAGUAACACGUGGAUACCCUCCCUUUAAGACUGGGUUACCUUCGGGAACCCGGAGCUAUUACCGGAUAAUAUUUUGAACCGCAUGGUUAAAAAGUGAAAGACGUUCUUGCUGUCCCUUAUAGAUGGAUCCGCGCUGCAUUAGCUAGUUGGUAAGGUAACGGCUUACCAAGGCAACGAUGCAUAGCCGACCUGAGAGGGUGAUCGGCCACACUGGAACUGAGACACGGUCCAGACUCCUACGGGAGGCAGCAGUAGGGAAUCUUCCGCAAUGGGCGAAAGCCUGACGGAGCAACGCCGCGUGAGUGAUGAAGGUCUUCGGAUCGUAAAACUCUGUUAUUAGGGAAGAACAUAUGUGUAAGUAACUGUGCACAUCUUGACGGUACCUAAUCAGAAAGCCACGGCUAACUACGUG